AUACGGAGGAUCCGAGCGUUAUCCGGAUUUAUUGGGUUUAAAGGGAGCGUAGGCGGACGCUUAAGUCAGUUGUGAAAGUUUGCGGCUCAACCGUAAAAUUGCAGUUGAUACUGGGUGUCUUGAGUACAGUAGAGGCAGGCGGAAUUCGGGGUGUAGCGGUGAAAUGCUUAGAUAUCCCGAAGAACUCCGAUUGCGAAGGGAGACUGCGGGACUGUAACUGGCGCUGAUGCUCGAAAGUGUGGGUAUCAAACAGGAUGAGAUACCCUGGUAGUCCACACAGUAAACGAUGAAUGCGCGCUUUUUGCGAUAUACAGUAAGCGGCCAAGCGAAAGCGCUAAGUAUUCCACCUGGGGAGUACGCCGGCAACGGUGAAACUCAAAGGAAUUGACGGGG
rnacentral:rRNA from 1 species